GCCAGGGGGUGAAAGGCGAGUUAGUAGGGCGUAUGGCUACCAACCUGAAGGUUGUGGGUUCAAUUCCCACCCUUAGCA